rnacentral:rRNA from 1 species
GACGAACGCUGGCGGCGUGCUUAACACAUGCAAGUCGAGCGGUAAGGCCCUUCGGGGUACACGAGCGGCGAACGGGUGAGUAACACGUAAGUAAUCUGCCCAUCACUUCGGGAUAACUCCGGGAAACCGGUGCUAAUACCGAAUAUGACCACUUCAGGCAUCUGAUGGUGGUGGAAAGUUCCGGCGGUGAUGGAUGAGCUCGCGGCCUAUCAGCUUGUUGGUGGGGUAGUGGCCUACCAAGGCUUCGACGGGUAGCCGGCCUGAGAGGGUGACCGGCCACACUGGGACUGAGACACGGCCCAGACUCCUACGGGAGGCAGCAGUGGGGAAUAUUGGACAAUGGGCGAAAGCCUGAUCCAGCAACGCCGCGUGAGGGAUGACGGCCUUCGGGUUGUAAACCUCUUUCAGCAGGGACGAAGCGCAAGUGACGGUACCUGCAGAAGAAGCACCGGCCAACUACGUG